rnacentral:lncRNA from 1 species
CUUUACCUCGACCUCGAGAGCGAGACCGCGGUCAUUAACAGCUGCUUUGUUGCUUUCUGGGAAAGCAAGCUCGAGUCCCUACAGUCCAUUGUCGCCCCCUACCCAAAAAAGCUCGAGACAGGUCAUCAUCGCGCUCACUUUUGUUAGUUUUAUCCUGCAAGUCACAGCUGAAUAGCUCAUCCACUGUCAUUACUCCUGUAAACCAGCUCUGGAAUCCAUGGAAUAGUUUAUACUACUACUAGACAUUUUUCUAUAUCCUGCUGAACUGUACUGUUGCUUUUGAUGGCGGGCCAGACAGUUAAAAAAGAAGAAGAAGAAGAAAAACUCUCUCUGAAUCUGUCUUGGCAGCAGGGAAGAUGAGGCCAGGAGAGUUGAUGAGGAGACUUUGCUGCGUUCCGUUCCGUUGCUGCAUGCGUCGGAGACCGGGAAUCUUUCGGGCGCCCUGAAGCGGAAGCGGAGUGACGAGAAGAUGGGGGCUAAUCUAAAGCAGUUGUUUAACCGCGCUGCUCGUUGCCGCUUUUUUUUCUUCUCGUGCCUGCUGACGGAACCCACGUGCGCGGACCGACCUGUUCAAGUCCAGGCUCUGACAGACGAGAGCUGGCCUCGAGAUGUUCUCCUAAUCGCUUUCGCAUUUCUUAAUCGCCUUCGACUCGUUAUCUUCCGCUUCUGUAUAUGGGAAUAGCUAUAGGAUAGUAAGUAGUUUGUUUAGCCAUACUACACCUAGUGGUCAGUGUGUUCGGGGCUUGCUCUUUGGGCACAUGUUCUUUCUUGUUGUUGCUGAAUGUGGUAGUAGGGUAGUGGAAAGUCUUAGAAGAACUAGAAAGAGGAUGCGUGUGGACGUUUUAUAUAUAUGUAAACUAUGAUGAUGGUUUCAUCUUUGAGUACCUGAUUUCAGUGCACGGGACAGCUUCAGAUUUACUUCAAAACAGUCAAAUUGUAUAAAAAGUUAUUCAAACGCUCUAGCUACAACAAAAUGGUGAACCC